rnacentral:rRNA from 1 species
GACGAACGCUGGCGGCGUGCUUAACACAUGCAAGUCGAACGGAAAGGCCCUGCUUGCAGGGUACUCGAGUGGCGAACGGGUGAGUAACACGUGGGUGAUCUGCCCUGCACUUCGGGAUAAGCCUGGGAAACUGGGUCUAAUACCGGAUAGGAGCCAUUUUUAGUGUGAUGGUUGGAAAGUUUUUCGGUGUAGGAUGAGCCCGCGGCCUAUCAGCUUGUUGGUGGGGUAAUGGCCUACCAAGGCGGCGACGGGUAGCCGGCCUGAGAGGGUGGACGGCCACAUUGGGACUGAGAUACGGCCCAGACUCCUACGGGAGGCAGCAGUGGGGAAUAUUGCACAAUGGGCGCAAGCCUGAUGCAGCGACGCCGCGUGGGGGAUGACGGCCUUCGGGUUGUAAACUCCUUUCGCUAGGGACGAAGCUUUUUGUGACGGUACCUAG